UUUAAAAUCUAACAAGCUUGCUAAAUGUUAGGGCCCCGAAAGUACCCUAAAACAUAUUCAUCAACUUCCAGAGAUUAAAAUCAGUGCGCUUUAGAAAGAAAAAAAAAAAAAAAGAACCAGAAAAUGCCAGCUGCCUUUGCAAACAGCGCAUUGGAAAAGGAACAUAAUUGCGUCCUUUCCCUCUAUAUCCAGGAACUUCGACCGCUACUGUGCUACAUCAGCAUUUAGUAAAGUUCUAUUUGAAAACUGGAAACUAUUGCAGCUGUUUCAAGAGUUUGGAGGAGGAGAAGCAAGAAGGGGAGGCUGUUCUCUCCUCAGUCAGAGGCUAAAGCCAGAGCAAUAAAUACUAAAAUUGGUAGCAGGAGCCCAAGGAGAAGACAAAACUGCACCUUCCCAGCUGGCAAUCCCCCAACUCAGGCUCUUCAGUGACUCCAUGAGGACUUCAGGAUAAAACUCAUGCUCCUAUGCAUGGACACGGUGCUGUUUCAGACCUUGGUGCCUAUUCAUGCAGCAUCUUGGGCCUGUGCACAUGAUGAGCACCAGCUCAUCUUUUAAGAUGUGUCUCGUGCCACCUAUUUUUGAAGACGUCCUGAACUUAUCUCCCUUCAAUGAUACUGACCAUCUCCUACUUGGUGUCCCAAAUUUCCAAUGUUUCUAUUAGCAUCUGGAAAGUUUUAUGCAAUUUUUGUCUCUUCCUAUGAAAUUCCUUGAAGUCAGAGACUAUGUCUUAUUUAUGUUUGUGUCCCUGACAAAUAAAAGGGACAUAAUUAAUGCUUUUUGGAUGAACGAUGAAAGGAAGGGAGGGAUGGAUAGAUGGAUGAAUAAAUAAAUGAAUAAAUGGGUGAGUGAAUGGGUAGUGAGUGAAGACACAAGUGAAAAGAUCCUCCCGAAAUACCCUACAGGGGGACUGGCAGAGUUUUGUCAAUACCUCCCACCCCCCCAACUCCAGCUCUUCACUGCUCAGAACUUGGAAGUUCCUGAAUUUUAUUUCCAUGUGUCUUAUUCUUUAUUGGGAAGUCAGGAUAAGGUACAGGUAUAAGAAAUUGGUGAUGUGUGGUUCAUAUAUACAAUGGAAUAUUACUCAGCCAUAAAAAGAGAAAGAAAUAGUGCCAUUUGCAGCAACAUGGAUGGACCUAGAGACUGCCAUACUGAGUGAAGUAAGUCAGACCAAGAAAGACCAAUAUCAUAUAAUAAUGUGGAAUCUAAAAAUAGGGUACAAAUGAACUUAUCUAUAAAACAGAAAUUGAGUCACAGAGGUAGAAAACAAACUUAUGGUUACCAGGGCAUAAGCGGGGGACGGAUUGAUUCAGAGAGUGGGAUUGACAUAUACACACUACUACAUGUAAAGUAGAUAGCUAAUGAGGACCUACUGUAUAGCACAGGGAACUCUACUCAAUACUCUGUAAUGGCCUGCAUGGGAAAAGAAUCUAAAAAAGAGUGGAUAUAUGUAUAUGUAUAACUGAUUCACUUUGCUGUACACCUGAAACUAACACAACCUUGUAAAUCA